GUAGGGAGCAAGCGUUGUUCGGAUUUACUGGGCGUAAAGGGUGUGUAGGUGGUCAAGUAAGUCAGUAGUGAAAUCCUUUUGCUCAACAGAAGAAUUGCUAUUGAUACUGCAUGACUAGAGUACGGUAGAGGAGAGCGGAAUUCUCGGUGUAGCGGUGAAAUGCGUAGAUAUCGAGAAGAACACCAGUGGCGUAGGCGGCUCUCUAGCCCGAUACUGACACUGAAACACGAAAGCGUGGGGGGAGCGAACGGGAUUAGAUACCCCGGUAGUCCACGCUGUAAACGAUGGGUACUUGGUGUAGGAGGUAUCGAUCCCCCCUUCUGUGCCGAAGCUAACGCGAUAAGUACCCCCCGGCCUGGGGAGUACGGCCGCAAGGCUA
rnacentral:rRNA from 1 species